CACAUUUCUUCCCAAAAGGGAGAAGCUGCAGAGAAUGGAGGAGGGAAAAAUGCGUAGGGCAUAUUCAUGAUAUUAGCCUAGCAACAAAACGCACUGGAAGGCAACAGCACUUCUGGCAUUAAACACACUGAAAGUACUCAUGUCAAUAAAACUAAACAAAACCAUGUUCAUGGUGGGAAAAUUUCACCUUAACUCGAUGAGUGCAAUUUUGCCCAUGCCACCAUUGGGGAAACAAAUCCUGCAAUAUCCUUUUUAUGCAAGAAUGUAUCUACUGUAACAAGACAGAUUCAUUCUGGAAAAUUUUUUGUCAAUAUAUCCUUUGUUAGGCAGUAUCUUCAUCUCCUAGCAACAGCGUGGGGAAAUCCAUCAGGGACACAGAAUUUAACGCACACAGCCUGGCUCUGGGGACACAAGCUGAAGCGCCUGAAAGCGCAGAUGGCCUAUCUUCUGCUCGGAAAUUCUGUUCUGCUAUCCUGCAAGCCAGAAACAAAGCUUCGUCUCUCUUCAGAGAGCAGGAGCAGGCUGGAAACGCAUUGGAGACAAUGGAGAAGGAGUCCGUGUUUGUUGAACUCAGGCUCACUAAGAAAUGGAUUAAAAGUAUUGUCCACAUCCAAUACCACGAAAAAUGAGCUUUGCACUGUGUGAGAUGAGAGCUUUUCCUUCCCCUUUCUCUCCUGUUUCUUUUCCCCUUAAGUGAGUUGAUUUGAAAAGAAAGCUGUAAUCUCUCCUUGAUGAAAGAGUUCUUCAAUACCCCGGUGCACCAAUGAACCAGGGCUGCAGCUUGCAGGCAUUUCACUGGGCAAUUCAGAGCCAAGUUCAUAGGGCUGCAGUCUUUUCAGGGAGGGGCACAGAGCCUAGAAAUAAGUUCAGUUCCAGCUAUUUCAGGAAGAGUUUUCGUAGCUCCUUUAUGUUAGGAAACCUGGAAAACCAAAUUACG
rnacentral:lncRNA from 1 species